GUUAUCUUUGUUGUAUUGGCAUAUU
rnacentral:piRNA from 1 species